rnacentral:lncRNA from 1 species
CACAGGAUCGAAUGUCACAUCUUUACUAUAUAAUAUGAGUUCUAUACAAAAUAAACAAUUACAUUAUAAGGAGACAACGGUCCAGCAACCCAAAGAUGACUGGGAGACGACGACCUAGACCUCUCACGAACACUUCGCAGCAUCCUCCACGCGCCUCAUCAUGUGGUACCUGUUCUUGACCUGUGGGGGGUGUGAGACAGCAAGAGUGAGCUCACAUACGUUCAUCGCUCAACAAGUUGUGGGGAAUAAUGUGCAUGAACUCGCCAAAGAUGGGAGCUCACGUGAAGUGUAAGGCUUACCAAAGAGGAUGGUUAGAGCUGAGCAUUGCUUUUAAAGUUGGUCAAAAUUUUAUUAGCAAUUACUAAGUAUAAGUAGAUACCAGCCCAAUUAAGUAGUAGAACAAAAGUAACAACCUCACCUGCGAUGCAAUGCAUAUGACAAAUUGAGUUUAGGUUCCAUAAUUUAAUCAUGUGAGUGUUCGAGCUGCUCAUGACCGUGAGCAUGGCUAGUAUACCAGUUUUACACUGUGCAGAGGUUGCACAUCUUUACCCACAAGUCAUGUUACCCAUCUGCCAAGAGACGACCAAUCCCAUAUACCUCUACCGAGGAGGCGAGGCAGGGUAACACUACGAGGCCUUUACAAAGUUCCACUAGCUUCAGAAAACCCGCUACAGUUUAUAGGAAGCUCCAAUGCAGGAAUCCCUCGCAUGACCGCCAUCGCAGCAAAAUCAUCCCAAGGGCCUCCCUACACUGACCACUCACCUACUGCCCUUGCCCCUUUCGGGUAAGGUAGUCAUCCACUAGCUUUCCUAAUUAAUCAGCCAAGGGCGUCCCAUUAAACCCUUGUGGUAGCACUGUUUUCCCGGGUGGUUCUCCAUGUUCCAAUUAACAUAAUGAUCUUGUCAUGAACAGUAAUUAACAAACUGAUAAUAAAAGUAUAAUCAUGAAUAAAAUGUAUCUCUAUACCCAAAACCACAUAAAGCAAUAGUAGGUACUACCCAAAAAUUCAGUGGUGAAUAAGGUAUAAAGAUAGUCAAACUAGGGUAACCUAUUGGGUCCCAUCAAAAUUAACCUAUGCAGAUCAUUAUGAUUAAUCAGAACAUGAUUGGGUAAAAAGAAGUGAUCAAGGGCACAACUUGCCUGGGACUUGAGAUUCCAGGUACCAGAAUGAUCUUCAGGUGACACGUGUUCUCACUGCUAAACGUAGCAAUACAGACAAACAUGUAUAGGCAAAAUUAACAUCACACCAAACAUAAGAACAAACUGAAUAAUAAUGAUCUACGCGAAGCUACGAGAUCGUGGGAUCAAGAACCACUAAAUUCGGAGCUACGGUUAUUAAGUUAUGAAUUUCCGAAAUUGUUUAGUGCUUAGAAUAGAUUAAUCCAAAUGAACAAUUUUAAUUCAAGUUUCAUGGCUAAACAGUGUUACUGGUUGAUAGAAAAUAUUAAUACAAAAUUAUAGGAACUGGAAUGGACUAAAAAGGAGCUAAAAUGAAUUUUCCAGGAAUUAAACAAGUUUUAGAUUUAAUUUUAUACUAGAAAAGUAUUUUCUAUAUUCAUUUAUUCAAUUCCUUCAAGUUCUGGCCUGAUCGCACUAUUUCUGAGAAGUGCAGGGUCAAUUCUGUAAAAAUUAGGACCUUUCUGUAAUUACUUUAUAACUAGGUUGGAUGGCGGGUUCAUUUCGCAGAUUUCCAGGGACUCUUUUAUAAGCUUGCCUCGACCGAACGGGUACGUUCUAUUCUAAGCCAUUCGAUCAAAAUCUGGAGGUCCAGAUCAGAUCGCGCGAAGGGGUAUGCGCGCCCUAAUCCUCACCGUCCAAAGCAAUCGGACGGUUCCGAGUUCGUCUUCCCACACACCGAUCAGAGCAACAGCGCAGGGGCCCCAAUGCGGCGAUGCGUUCGUCGGAGAGCAGCCCAUGUCGCAACAUGUCCAAAUCCGAGGUCCCUAACACACCAAGGAGGGUAUAAGGAUGACAGGUAAAGGGGAUUCUCACCGGUUCAUGAAAGGGGGGGUCGACCAGUCCGGUCAUCACGUGGGGCGGACAGCAGCGUUUCGGCGAGGAAUUCAUCCUCCCCGAUCGACCCGCAUCAACCAACCGAGCUCCGCAUGAUCCCCACAGCACUGUGAAGCUUCUAUUCCCGCGCCCGACGGUUGGUGUGAUCGACGAUGUGCGGCUGCUCCUUGCUCUCAGCAUCUCUGAUGACAUGCGGCUAUUGGCUAGGGUGGCUACGGCUAGAGUCUUGGCGACAACGUGCGCGACCUCUUCUUUUAUAGGCCAGAAAGGAUAAGGAUCGUCUCUUCAUUGUUGCAUGCACGCGUUGGCCGGAUAAGGACUGUAUAUACAUGCGCAUGGACAUAUGUUUGCAUUUGGACCCUCGGUGUUGAAGUAUGAUCGUUAUCCAAGCAGUUUGGGUCAGCUACACAAGCAGGAUUUGGGAUUGUUUUGCAUGCAGCCAAUAUUUUAAUAGUAGAUGAAUUAACGUUCUCAUGCAUACUUUGAUUGGUAGCAAAUUUCAAGGCCAUCACGUCACCAUGACCAACAUAAAAGUAGUAUUUUAUAAAAUAAUAUACUCAAUAUUAUAUUACAUAUUAUUAUAUCUAAGUAUUACUAUUAAUAUGCACGUACUUUGACUAUAUAUUCUGUUUACAGAUGAGAAAUGAAUGUUUAUUGAGAGAUUUAUAAAAAAAUAUCCAUAAAACACGGUGGCAGUGGUUAUCUAUAGAUGAAGUUAGCUCUUAAGUGAGGGUGUCAACCUUUAGAUAAAGGUUUAUAGUCUUUGGAGGGCGAGCCAUCCUUAGGAUAUAUCAUAACUUAUCCACUGACUAAAUAGAAAUUUUACAGCGUAGUUAAGAGACCUACAAUAAAAGCGCCUUAAUGAUUACACAAGGACUUCUAUACUCUACCACUACCUUUCUCUUUUCUAAUUUCUACUUUCUAUUUUAAAUUUAAAAUUCAAGUCAAUUUAGAGAUAAGUUAAAAUUUCUAUUUCAAGUAUAAAUUGCAACAAGCAAAAACUCAGCAUGAAUGCAAAACAUUUUUUAAUUAAUUAAUUUAUCUGUUUAAGCAAAUGCUUCAAACAAUACAUAUAACUUAGUAGGAAUAGUUCAUGUAAGAUGUUUUACCACAAUAAUUAUUUAAGAAAACAAUUCAAAUGCAUAGCUAAUUUUUUUUUAUAUUUAACAUUUAUUUAUCUUAAAGAAAAUAGUUCCAAAUAUAUAACCUUCAUUAAUAGACAUUUUAAAUUAUUUUUAAAAAAUCUUUAGAGAAUUUUCCUGAAUCCCAAAGUUCGGAUUUUGGGGUGUUACAAAUUCUACCCCCCUUAAAAAUAAUCUCGUCCUCGAGAUUACUAAGAAGAGGAAUAUCUUUAGUUGGGUUUGUUUCUAAUUGGUUCCAGUACUAAUUUUCUUUGUUCAAGUUUUUUUUAUUUGGGGUACCUUCUAUGUCUAGCCAUCUAUUUGGCAAGAUGAGAGAUGGUUAUGGCAAGAAAUACUAAGCAAAAGAAAGACUGCAUCCUUCCUUGAUGAGGUUGAUCUUUUCUUCUCCGGUCUUGGUCUCAUUGAUUCGCGGUGAGUUCAUAUCAUCAGUGUUUGGGAAUAUGGUUAAGAUAGAUUUGGAUGAGAUAGGCUACAUGAUGUAGGUCAAAAUCUUAUUUGAUAUUAGGUGGGGAUAGACAUAUUAUGCAAUUCACCGUGACUCUUCUGGUUGGGUAAGUUUUGUAACUUGUUAUAUAGGUCAAGUUGUUGUGUAUGGCCAAGUUGAUCUAAGUCACCAAUUUAGGCUUAAGUGAAUUAGGAGUAUGGACUUAUCCUUUGUACAAGCAUUUAAGUAACUCCCACUAGAUUAGAAUAUAUUAGAUUAGAUAUGAUCUAGAUGAGACUAGUUUAGAUUAGAUAGGUUUAUUAGGGUAAGAUGAAUCUUUAUUAGGAUAAGUUAGGAUCUUUUGAGAUAAGAUGAAUCUCAAAAGGUAAAAUAGAAUCUGCCAAGAUAAGAUAGAUAUGGGAUACUAGCUAUAUAUUUUUUUAAUGGAGAGAUAAUAUAGGUUAUUUAAUUAUUUUAUUAAAAACAAUUAUGCCUAUAUGUAUAUGCAGAUGGAAUUGUGGACAUUACUCCACAAUCCAUCACACUCAAUCAAAGAUCCAAAUCAGACAAAUAUCAUAAGAACAAACAUUCAAGUGUACAGAUAAAAAAAAAUUAGUUUUGUUUUUGUUCCUAAGAUUAGGUCUCCUAGUCCUAAACUCACUUUAGGUGCAGGGUUUCAAAGUGUGAAAUCCACAUUUGUCUUUAGAAUGAAAAGGUAAGAAUAAUCAGAGUAAGCGGAAAUAGAUGAGAAAAAAUUAAGAAAAGUUUAGAAAAGGAUCAGAGUAGCAAAGAUAAGUAGAGAAUGGUUGUCCAGUUCUAUCUAGGUUUUGUCCUACAGUCAACAUUCCUCUGAUACCACUUCUGUCACACCCGGAUUUUAGGGGCACCAAGACCCGGGCGCGAACAUAAUCACCAGGUGUGCUGGGACCAAGUCUCACACAUAUGAUGAAUCAUGGCACAGGAUCGAAUGUCACAUCUUUACUAUAUAAUAGGAGUUCUAUACAAAAUAAACAAUUAUAUUAUAAGGAGACAACGGUCCAGCAACCCAAAGAUGACUGGGAGACGACGACCUAGACCUCUCACGAACACAUCGCAGCAUCCUCCACGCGUCUCAUCCUGUGGUACCUGUUCUUGACCUGUGGGGGGUGUGAGACAGCAAGAGUGAGCUCACAUACGUUCAUCGCUCAACAAGUUGUGGGGAAUAAUGUGCAUGAACUCGCCAAAGAUGGGAGCUCACGUGAAGUGUAAGGCUUACCAAAGAGGAUGGUUAGAGCUGAGCAUUGCUUUUAAAGUUGGUCAAAAUUUUAUUAGCAAUUACUAAGUAUAAGUAGAUACCAGCCCAAUUAAGUAGUAGAACAAAAGUAACAACCUCACCUGCGAUGCAAUGCAUAUGACAAAUUGAGUUUAGGUUCCAUAAUUUAAUCAUGUGAGUGUCCGAGCUGCUCAUG